rnacentral:rRNA from 1 species
CGGUAAUACGGAGGAUCCUUGCGUUAUCCGGAAUCAUUGGGUUUAAAGGGUCCGUAGGCGGUCAGAUAAGUCAGUGGUGAAAGCCCAUCGCUCAACGGUGGAACGGCCAUUGAUACUGUCUGACUUGAAUUAUUAGGAAGUAACUAGAAUAUGUAGUGUAGCGGUGAAAUGCUUAGAGAUUACAUGGAAUACCAAUUGCGAAGGCAGGUUACUACUAAUUGAUUGACGCUGAUGGACGAAAGCGUGGGUAGCGAACAGGAUUAGAUACCCUGGUAGUCCACGCCGUAAACGAUGGAUACUAGCUGUUGGGAGCAAUCUCAGUGGCUAAGCGAAAGUGAUAAGUAUCCCACCUGGGGAGUACGUUCGCAAGAAUGAA